rnacentral:lncRNA from 1 species
CAGUGAUAAACAUGAACUAAAGAAUCAGGUAUACCUGCAGAUUCUCUUGUAAGGGGUUGGGUCCAUUGCUGCCCCAUAAGCUGAAACGAUUUAGAACAAACGAUGCACUUGCCCAGGAAUGGAAAGAGUUUUCAACCAUUAUUAUAAGUACAUUUGUCCAAGAGAAGAGGCCAGAAGAGAUAUUCUACAUUAAGAUGGCAGUAAAUCCCUCCUUUGUAAAAAGAGGGAAGUCAAUGGCCACUGACGCCAUUGCAAGGUAGCCUUCAAUUUAAAAUUGUUGUUGACCCUGCCUUGAGCUGACAUUGUUGUCUUUGGGGUAAGGCACAAAUGCAGGAAAAUCAAAAUGCUCUUGUUUUCAUUUUUAGAAGAAAAAAACCUGAAAAUGCUACCUAAGCCUGCAACUAGGACUGGUAGAAGAAGGAGAGCUGGUGGGGUGUAAUGGGAGAAAGUGGCCGUCAGGCCGCCUGACCGUAGCCUUCGCGCUGCAAAUCUGGUUUUCAUAUUCUCGCUCAGUAAUCACCCAAAGCCGUAACUGUCUCUGAAAUUAUUCAUUAAAGUCAUUUUCAGGGGUUCUCGCAGGGCGACUCUUUCACAUUUAUGAUCUCCUGAGAGCUAUGACAAGCCUCUGUCUUUUUCCCCCCUUUAAUUGAUGUGCUGGGAAGAGGAGAGGGGCAGUGGCUGCGUACGUGGGGAGGGGGCGGGGACGGGGGUGGAAUCCGCGGGCCGGUCUGCUCCUGGCCGGGUCAGCUGAGCUCCGGCGCGCAGACAUCCUUUGAUUAAGGAGGGUAUUUCGAGGAGUGCAGGCUGUGCAGAAGAUCACGGCUGUGCCCUGUGGUGCUGUCAGCAGUGACAGAUCCCAGAUGGGGCCGCUACUGUAUGGCAGAUUGAGUUUCUCAGCAGAAAACUAGCCCUCCCUCCUAAACGUCUUCAAAAACCUUCUCCAGAUCCUCCAGGUCGCUUCGUGUGAACUGAAAAAUUCCAACCCCCAAGUUGGUUUGGCGUGCCUGUGUGAAUGUUAGGUUUUGGUUUUUUUUAAAUCUCCCCUUCUUUUUUCCCUGCACAUCCUCCGCCUCUGAGCAUCUUCGCCCUGCAGGGCUAUCCGGCUGCAAAGAGCGCAGCUUUGCGGGCCUGGGGGAUCUCUUCGCCCGCCCCGCAGCGCCGACGACCCUGCAUCGAGGGGCCGCGAAGGCAAUCCGGCCCACACACGAGAUUCCCCUAAGGGGAUCCGCUCCACUCAACUCCACAGACUGGAACACAGCGCGCUUCCUCCUGCCAACCUGGGCCUGGGCGAUGAAGGAGACAGCUCCAGCUGACCUGGUUAACACAAGCAGCACAUCACUGGGACCUCUACCCCACCGGGCUCCUUUCCUGCCCCUCGAGGGCGAAGUUGAGCUGAACCCACCCGACCAAGUCCAGAUCGCUCCAGAUCGCCAGGAGCAGAGCCAUCUCGGAGGUCCGAGAUCAGAGAGGCGGAUCCUCAUGCUCCGGGUGAAUUAAUUCUGGGCAAAGGGGCGGCUUUGGGUCGUGCCUGGUCCGCGUGACCACGGGCAGGGCCGGGAGGCUGAGUCUUGGCGGCUCGCGGGGGCUCCCCCACGUGGAAUCCCCCUUCCCCAAAGUGCCUUAGCCCUGGGGCUGGACGACAGCUAGAGCGGAUCGGGGGGUCGCCCACCCGGCGGUGUUACGGCCGCAGGCGUGACUCUUUCCCCUGACUGCAUGGAAUUAUCCAUAGGCACAGAGACCUGCCGCGUGGCGCGCGCCCGGGCGUCGCCGGCCUAGGAGCUGCGGGAGCUCGGCUCUGCCACCCCAGGGGGGAGCCCUGCGUGGCGCCGCCCGCCCGGCGUCACUCCUCUUCCCGCCCGCUCGUCGGGGCUUUCCCGCUUCUGGGUUCCCUCCCUGUUCUCGGGAGGGAAAAGCCGUUCCCGGGGGGGACCCGAGUCCUUCAUUCCGCUCGUUCAGGCC